UCAACGAGUAACACAACCACGGCCUGUCUGUCCAGAUCGAGCAGAACGAGUUGUCCCCCUCGCGCACAGCCGCCUCGCCGUUCCCCUGCUCCACCCCGACACCCAGCCGCCGCGCCGUUCCUCUCGUCCUCGCCGGUCUUCGGUCGGCCGGAGCCCGGAGCCCAGCCGCCCAGGAGGCUCCUUGCUCCCGCCUCCCCUUCCCGGCUUCCCACCCGCCCAGUCCAGGGCUCCAGGCGUUUGGCUCAAUUUUCUAAUUGUUGAGGAAUGAAGAGGGCCAGACGAGACAUUAUUUCUCUUUUUCCAGAAGAAGAGAAACAAUGUCUCGUCAAGGCCGGGAAUAUGUCGGAUGUGGCCGAAGAGCAAACCGGAGAACUUGUGUGUAUGCCAGAAACAUAGUCUUUUUGAACUUCUCAAGUUAGAACUUUCACAUGUCAUAUUGCUUAUCAAAAAAAAUGGGGCAGACCACCCUGGUGUCAAAUACUAGCUCCGCCAC